GCGAGUAUAGUUUAGUGGUAGAACGCGGCCUUGCCAUGGCUGAGACGGGAGUUCGAUUCUCCCUACUCGCA
rnacentral:tRNA from 1 species